GAUGAACGCUGGCGGCGUGCCUAAUACAUGCAAGUCGAACGAAGAUCUUGCUUGCUAGAUCCUAGUGGCGAACGGGUGAGUAAUACAUAAAUAAUCUGCCCAUAUGACUGGGCUAACUAUUGGAAACGAUAGCUAAUACCGGAUAGGUUGAUCGGAGGCAUCUCUGAUGAAUUAAAGUAGGAUUUCUACACAAAUGGAUGAGUUUAUGGCGCAUUAGUUAGUUGGUGGGGUAACGGCCUACCAAGACGAUGAUGCGUAGCCGACCUGAGAGGGUGACCGGCCACACUGGGACUGAGACGCGGCCCAGACUCCUACGGGAGGCAGCAGUAGGGAAUUUUCGGCAAUGGGCGCAAGCCUGACCGAGCAACGCCGCGUGAGUGAUUAAGGCCUUCGGGUUGUAAAGCUCUGUUGUAAGGGAAGAACAUUCAGGAUAGGAAAUGAUCUUGAACUGACGGUACCUUACCAGAAAGCCACGGCUAACUACGUGCCAGCAGCCGCGGUAA
rnacentral:rRNA from 1 species